rnacentral:lncRNA from 1 species
AAGUCGACAGGAAGGUGGAUAUCCAAAUCUCUCUCUUUGCAAUGAGUUUCCAGCUAGAUGGAGGAGAGAGUAAUAAAACUCAGAGCUGAGAUUCCUGACUUCACAGAUCCCUGAGGAGAUGUUUACUAAAGGGAAUCUUCUGGCCACCGUUACCUUCCUCCGUACUUACCUGCCUCAUGGAAACACUGAAGAAUGCAGUUUACUGACAUCUUUUUCUGCUUGACAGAAGCCAGUUAUUAGAACCCGAAAGGAAGAAGCCUAUACGACUGGGGACACGUCCUAGAAGCACACCCCAUUAGAUAAAGUGUCGCAUACUCUUUGAUAAGUGACUCAGAACACCCAUGUCCUUCCCUAUGUUGGAUGCAAUGCUAAAGACAUGAUGUUGCUCCUGCUGGAACACAACUUGAAGGAAUUGCCUACCCCACCUCACCUCCAAAAUUAAAGUCUUUUGUUUUGACAAAAGUUAA